GGAGGUAUAGCUCAGUGGUAGAGUGCAUGCUUAGCAUGCAUGAGGUCCUGGGUUCAAUCCCCAGUAUCUCCU
rnacentral:tRNA from 1 species